rnacentral:piRNA from 1 species
UGCCAAUGCUGUGCUUAUGAGUUUAGCAAU